rnacentral:rRNA from 1 species
CCUACGGGUGGCUGCAGUGGGGAAUAUUGGACAAUGGGCGAAAGCCUGAUCCAGCCAUGCCGCGUGUGUGAAGAAGGCCUUCGGGUUGUAAAGCACUUUCAGUGGGGAAGAAAGCCUUGGGGCUAAUACCCUCGAGGAAGGACAUCACCCACAGAAGAAGCACCGGCUAACUCCGUGCCAGCAGCCGCGGUAAUACGGAGGGUGCGAGCGUUAAUCGGAAUUACUGGGCGUAAAGCGCGCGUAGGCGGUCUGAUAAGCCGGUUGUGAAAGCCCCGGGCUCAACCUGGGAACGGCAUCCGGAACUGUCAGGCUAGAGUGCAGGAGAGGAAGGUAGAAUUCCCGGUGUAGCGGUGAAAUGCGUAGAGAUCGGGAGGAAUACCAGUGGCGAAGGCGGCCUUCUGGACUGACACUGACGCUGAGGUGCGAAAGCGUGGGUAGCAAACAGGACUAGAUACCCUAGUAGUU